GAUGGCAAAAACUUAUCCCAAACAGCAUCAGAUUCAGCGGCGGAUCUGAAAGUCCAUGAAACCAAAGAGAGUCUUCCAACAUCUCGAGGAGAUGUAAAGGACAGAAUAUUUGCUAUACAACCUUCAGGAAGCGGUUGAAAUGAAUAGGGAAGCUUAGCGGUUAAGUCUGGGAGAGUCGUAUAUGGUAUCGUGCAUAUUUGCCACACAAUCUGGACGAUAAAAGUUAUUAAAAAGGGUAUUUAUGCGAAUGGAUCUUUA